rnacentral:misc_RNA from 1 species
GAUGAAGAACGUAGCGAAAUGCGAUACGUAAUGUGAAUUGCAGAAUUCAGUGAAUCAUCGAAUCUUUGAACGCACAUUGCGCCCGCUAGUAUUCUGGCGGGCAUGCCUGUUCGAGCGUCAUUUCAACCAUCAAGCCCUAGGCUUGCGUUGGAGCCCUGCGGCUGCCGCAGGCUCCCAAAUCCAGUGGCGGGCUCGUCGUCGUACCGAGUGCAGUAAACAUCCUCGCUCAGGGAACGUGACGGGUUCUUGCCGUGAAACCCCCCACAUAUCAAGGUUGACCUCGGAUCAGGUAGGAAUACCCGCUGAACUUAAGCAUAUCAAUAAGCGGAGGA